UACGAAGGGUGCAAGCGUUACUCGGAAUUACUGGGCGUAAAGCGUGCGUAGGUGGUUUGUUAAGUCUGAUGUGAAAGCCCUGGGCUCAACCUGGGAAUGGCAUUGGAAACUGGCGACCUAGAGUGCGGUAGAGGGCAGUGGAAUUCCCGGUGUAGCAGUGAAAUGCGUAGAGAUCGGGAGGAACAUCUGUGGCGAAGGCGACUGCCUGGACCAGCACUGACACUGAGGCACGAAAGCGUGGGGAGCAAACAGG
rnacentral:rRNA from 1 species